UGAGUAACACGUAUGCAAUCCACCUGUAACAGGGGGAUAACCCGGAGAAAUCCGGACUAAUACCCCAUAAUAUGGGCGCUCCGCAUGGAGAGCCCAUUAAAGAGAGCAAUUUUGGUUACAGACGAGCAUGCGCUCCAUUAGCCAGUUGGCGGGGUAACGGCCCACCAAAGCGACGAUGGAUAGGGGCUCUGAGAGGAAGGUCCCCCACAUUGGAACUGAGACACGGUCCAA
rnacentral:rRNA from 1 species